rnacentral:lncRNA from 1 species
UACAAAACUUUGAUUGGCGACAUUCUAGGAGAAACUAUGGAAUAUUGUGAGAUGAAAAGUGUGUUUCCAAGUUAUGGUAUGGUGUUUGUGUUAUUUCCUGCCGCUGACACAGCAGCCGAUGCUGUAAAUAAAUUCAAAAAUUCCACUAUGGACAACAAAGAGCUGUUUGUGAGAGUCCUACCCACUAUUCAUCCUGGGCUGUUCCCCCCUGGGAUCCAACCCCUUCUAGUACUGGUUAACUCCAGAAGUGUAGGUGGUCAGGGGGGCCGACAUGUCAGCAGCUUUCCAGAGACUGCUCAACCCUCAUCAAGUGUACAGCCUCACAGAGGGAGGCCCAUUUUUAGGAUUUUACGCUUUCAGAUCUAUUCCUGAUUUUCGUGUCUUGAUCUGUGGUGGCGAUGGGACAGUUGGCUGGAUGUUGUCGUGUUUGGAAGAUGUUGCUCAAGAGUUGAAGUGUAAGUUACCUGCAUCAGCAGUUCUUCCUCUUGGCACUGGUAAUGAUCUCUCUCGUAUCCUCCAUUGGGGAAGUGGUUACUCUGGCGGCGAGAGUCCUGUAUCGCUACUCAUGGCCAUUGACCAGGCUCACGAAGUGUUUCUUGAUAGAUGGUGUGUCAUGUUUGACUCCGUGGACACUAACGUUCCUGACACACUGUCAAACGACAGCGCACUUGGUUCGAUGGGAGGAAGAGAGGACGAUCCUAGUAUUUUUACGAUGAAUAACUACUUUGGCAUCGGAAUUGGAGCUGAUUUUGGUUAGAUUUUCAUCUUCAGAGAGAGGAAGCACCUGAUAAAUUCCAUAACAGGCUUCAUAACAAAGGAGUUUACUUUAGAGCAGGGAUAAAGAAAAUGGUCAAAGGCUACUCGCGGAUAUUUACUCACGAAGUCGAAGUAGAGCGUUAUGCCUCAGCUUGUCGCUGUGACGUUCUUGUAGAGUAGUUGGACUUCAGGGAGUCAUGCACAUGGGUCAAACUCAAAGUGGAAUCAGGACUGGUAUCCGACUGGCACAGGGAGCCCAGAUAAAUAUCAAAAAAAAGUCAGAGAUGCCUGUACAAAUAGAUGGUGAACCUUGGAUGCAGCCUCCAGGCACUGAUGCUUUCAAAGAGGAAAGUUAAAGUGAAAAACUUAAGAAGACCUUCCAGCUCGUCUCGUCCUCCUUCAAGCCCCAGCGCAACGAGAACUAUUUUUUAUAACGAUUAAACAGAAUUUUCCCGGGUCUUUUCUCACGGAAGAAAAUAAUCUUACAUAUAAAAGGGGCUGAAAGUUAUAGCCGCUUCAUUAGAAACUAUAUUGAAGAUUUGUACCAGCUCUGAUUUAUAUUUAACUUGUUUAUCUUGCAAAGUUUAUCUAUUAAGGUAUUGUUUCAGCCGAGAAAAUGCAAUUUUAAAUUUUGAAGAAAACUAUUGUCAUUUGUAUUGCUCUGGGUGUACGCUGUCUUGCUGACGUCUGUAAAUAUAAAUAGUUAAGACUAAAAUAACUCUUCUUCAGGCGUUACCACUCGAACCUCUUCCGUGUAACUUGCCUUUCAUGACAGAGCUUUAUAACGAAAUGUUACGUCACAGGUACGCGGUCAACAACGCGGGCUCAAGCAUACGUAGUUUAAAAUUUAGCGAAAUUUGCGGAAAGAAAAAGGAGCAAGCAUUUGAAACCAAGGCAUUUUGUUGUCGUCGAAGACAUCUUCCUAUUUCCAAAGUUUUUAACGAGAAAAAUUUGUUUGGAAAAUAUUUAAGGGGUGUACCAAGGUUUUGGAAGUUUUCUGUAAAACAAAAGCGGCCAGGAAAACGACGCCUAGAAGCAACAGAAUUGAAAAUCAACAAAGCAAACGACUCAAAAUCAUUUUUCCCGCGGGAAAAUCUAGCGCGUGCGCAUACGUUCUUCAGCUCUGUUACCAUUUGUGCUUUUGGACUCCAUUUCUAGCAAAGGACAUAAUACUUUCAUUGACUUGGUAUAAAGUAAUUCAGAAACUGCGUCUCAGCCACACUGGGUCUUUCUCUACUCCGCUCGUAAAAGCGCAAAGCCGUCGUAGUCGACAAUACGCGUUAAAGAACCAAACUCAUACCAUGCUAUUCUACAGUCAUGUCAAAAGUA